rnacentral:rRNA from 1 species
GAUGAACGCUGGCGGCGUGCCUAAUACAUGCAAGUCGAGCGAACGGACGAGAAGCUUGCUUCUCUGAUGUUAGCGGCGGACGGGUGAGUAACACGUGGAUAACCUACCUAUAAGACUGGGAUAACUUCGGGAAACCGGAGCUAAUACCGGAUAAUAUUUUGAACCGCAUGGUUCAAAAGUGAAAGGCGGUCUUGCUGUCACUUAUAGAUGGAUCCGCGCUGCAUUAGCUAGUUGGUAAGGUAACGGCUUACCAAGGCAACGAUGCAUAGCCGACCUGAGAGGGUGAUCGGCCACACUGGAACUGAGACCCGGUCCAGACUCCUACGGGAGGCAGCAGUAGGGAAUCUUCCGCAAUGGGCGAAAGCCUGACGGAGCAACGCCGCGUGAGUGAUGAAGGUCUUCGGAUCGUAAAACUCUGUUAUUAGGGAAGAACAUAUGUGUAAGUAACUGUGCACAUCUUGACGGUACCUAAUCAGAAAGCCACGGCUAACUACGUG